UUUCUUCCACGGGAGGCAUUAGAAUCGGAGGUUCCUGCAACUUAUUCUUUUUUCAUUUUUCCAUGCCCCUUGGCAGUCAUCAUUCCACCUGACCAUUGAUUUCUUUUGUUUUCUUUUUUUUCGGUUCAGGCGUUUCUAGUAUUGUUUUUUUUUCUUUUCUUUUUUUUGCAGGAAAAACCUCGAUUCCUCUUUCAUUCACAACAUGCCUCGGCAGCUUGCUGGACAGCACUCCAUAAGUGCACUGACUUA
rnacentral:lncRNA from 1 species